CACACAACACACAUCGAGUCAGCCAGUGUGAAUGAGCAGUCAGAGGGGAGCAGAGGAGAGAAACAUGGCUCAUGUACAAAAGUUGAGAGAGACGGAGGAAGAGGAGGAGAGAGGCCGGCUCUGGAUGGAGACUCAAAGAGUAACCAGAGAAGAGGAGAAGACCACAGACUUUCUGUAGCACAAUAAAGGAAGACUAAACAACUUCUGAAAUCAAGAGGUAGCAACACGGAUCUCGGCCUGUCUGACUGACAUCUCUCAGUGGAUAUCCUGAAAAUCCACCUAGGACAGAACUACGUUUCCUUCCAAGGAAAGGCUCAUCCACCCAUGACCUGACUAUUAUCUUUGAAAUCUCUGUAAUAGCCCUCAUCCAGACUGAUAUAGGAACCUGGGUGUGACACUCAACAGUCAACUCUCCCUGACUACUGCAACAACCCGUUCCUGUAGAUACAUGCUGCACAACAUCAGGAGAAUACGUCCUCUUCUCACUCAGAAGGCAGUGCAGGUUCUGGUCCAGACUCUGGUCAUCUCCCACCUAGACUAUUCUAACUCCCUCCUGGAAGGAAGCAAAUUGUACUUAGUUGAUUUUUGUUGUUCGGAGUUUGUACCCUCAUUGUUGAAUGCACUUAUUGUAAGUCAAUUUGGAUAAAAGCGUCAGCUAAAUGAUAUGUCGUGUAACGUAAUGGUAUGGUAGGAGUAGCAGUAGAAGAAGCAGUAGUUGUAGUAGUAGUUGUAGUAUUCUUGUAUUUAUUUUAUAUAAUACAAUUAUACUAAAAGGAUUGGACAUAGUUUUUAACGGAUGUACCAGUGUGUAGUCUACUAGUUGCAUAGUGUGAUUCCUACACAUCGGUAUGAGUCAGGAAACGGGCAGGAAACAUCACUGCGGACCCAUCACACCCUGGACACAACUACUUCCAACUCCUCCCCUCUGGUGGGCGCUACAGAGCACUGAAGGCCCAAACUACCAGACACCACAAACAGCUUCUUAACCCUGGCCGUCACUCUGAUGAACACUUAAUCAGGCAGGGUCAGGAACAAUCCGUGUGCAAUAGCAACAUUAUAUUCUAAAUUAUAUAUUUAAACAUAUUCCAUCUACCUCAUGUAUAUAGAGUAUCCUGUGACCAUUUUCCCCAAAUUUAUUCUAGCAUCUCUGCACUCUGCAUCAUUACACUAUUUCUCCAUUUCAUUGUCAUUGUUGUUGUGUUUCAUAUUCAUAUAUACGGUACAUACUUUUGUAAAUAUAUUUAUAUGCAUACUUGUACAUUGUCAUUCAAUGUCAAAUUGUCAAAUUCCUUGCAUGUGUUCGCAUACAUGGUCAAUGUAGCUGAUUCUGAUGAAUGCAUUUGUUAAGAUGAAUAAGUAGUAACACUAUUUGAUCGCCAGGGGUCAGCAACGCUUAUCAUUUAAAACUAGACGCCUAUUACACAACAGUACAUUUCAUAAAGAUAAGACAAUCAAAGAUGGCUAUGCUUCAUAAGGACGUCUCAUCUUUGUGAUGAAAGGCUACAUAGAGGAUUA